rnacentral:sRNA from 1 species
GACCUGCGGAAGGAUCAUUAACGAGUUAAUUGAACAGGUUGUAGCUGGCCCCCAGGGGCAUGUGCACGCCUGGCUCAUCCACUCUUCAACCUCUGUGCACUUCUUGUAGGUCGGCGGAAGGACGAGUCUGGUUUCAUUACUGUGACUUGCUUGGAAGCCUUCCUAUGUCUUUACAAACGCUUCAGUUUAAGAAUGUAAUCUGCGUACAACGCAUCUAUAUACAACUUUCAGCAACGGAUCUCUUGGCUCUCGCAUCGAUGAAGAACGCAGCGAAAUGCGAUAAGUAAUGUGAAUUGCAGAAUUCAGUGAAUCAUCGAAUCUUUGAACGCACCUUGCGCUCCCUGGUAUUCCGGGGAGCAUGCCUGUUUGAGUGUCAUGGUACUCUCAACCUUCAUAACUUUGUUGUUAUCGAAGGCUUGGAUUUGGAGGUUGUGCUGGCUUCUUGUCAAGUCGGCUCCUCUUAAAUGGAUUAGCGUGAGUGUAACGGAUCGCUUCGGUGUGAUAAUUAUCUGCGCCGUGGUCGUGAAGUAACAUCAGCUUGUGCUUCUAACCGUCCUUCAGCUGGACAAAUUUACUCUGACAUCUGGCCUCAAAUCAGGUAGGACUACCCGCUGAACUUAAGCAUAUCAUA